rnacentral:tRNA from 1 species
GGUUGUAGCUCAGUGGCAGAGCACUUGCCUAGCAUGUGUGAGGCCCAGGGUUCAAUCCUCAGCACCA